AAAAAGACAAAUCCUGGGUUUCAGUGUCCAACGUUUGAUCUAAUAUAAAAUUUUUUUAUAAUUAGUAUUUUCAUUGUUAUUAGAUGAUAAAACAUGAUUAAUACUUUAUGCGUGACUUGUCUUUUUAAUUUUUUUAAAUAAGACAUACGGUCAAACGUUGGACACAAAAACUAAGAGUUUUUCUUUUU
rfam:Oryza barthii chromosome 10, whole genome shotgun sequence.